GUGAAGGCGCUCAAUCUUUUACUACAGGAUCCAAACUGUCAACUGAAGACACUGAGGUUUUUGAGUCCAGCUGCAGAAAAAGCACGUCAGUAUCUGACUAAUCUCCUGAAAACAAACCCAUUAGUCCUGAGAGAGCUGAAUCUCAGUGAGCGUAAACUAGGAAACUCAAACGUGAAGCAGAUCACUGCUCUACUGCAGGAUAAACACUAUACACUCAAUGCACUCUUGCUGAAUAAUAACAGUAUGACAGAUAAAGGUUGUUCUGCUGUGACUUCAGCUCUGAAAUCAAACCCAUCGAACCUUGAGAGAGCUUAACCUGAGUGGAAAUAAACUAGGAUACUCUGGAGU